rnacentral:rRNA from 1 species
CAGCCGCCACGGGAAAACGUAGGUGGCAAGCGUUGUCCGGAAUUAUUGGGCGUAAAGCGAGCGCAGGCGGUUUGAUAAGUCUGAAGUUAAAGGCUGUGGCUCAACCAUAGUUCGCUUUGGAAGCUGUCAAACUUGAGUGCAGAAGGGGAGAGUGGAAUUCCAUGUGUAGCGGUGAAAUGCGUAGAUAUAUGGAGGAACACCGGUGGCGAAAGCGGCUCUCUGGUCUGUUACUGACGCUGAGGCUCGAAAGCGUGGGGAGCGAACAGGAUUAGAUACCCGCGUAGUCCCUGUCUCUUAUACC